rnacentral:rRNA from 1 species
AUGAACGCUAGCGGCAGGCCUAACACAUGCAAGUCGAGGGGCAUCGGGAUUGAAGCUUGCUUCAAUUGCCGGCGACCGGCGCACGGGUGCGUAACGCGUAUGUAACCUACCUAUAACAGGGGCAUAACACUGAGAAAUUGGUACUAAUUCCCCAUAAUAUUCGGAGAGGCAUCUCUCCGGGUUGAAAACUCCGGUGGUUAUAGAUGGACAUGCGUUGUAUUAGCUAGUUGGUGAGGUAACGGCUCACCAAGGCAACGAUACAUAGGGGGACUGAGAGGUUAACCCCCCACACUGGUACUGAGACACGGACCAGACUCCUACGGGAGGCAGCAGUGAGGAAUAUUGGUCAAUGGACGCAAGUCUGAACCAGCCAUGCCGCGUGCAGGAAGACGGCUCUAUGAGUUGUAAACUGCUUUUGUACGAGGGUAAACUCACCUACGUGUAGGUGACUGAAAGUAUCGUACGAAUAAGGAUCGGCUAACUCCGUGCCAGCAGCCGCGGUAAUACGGAGGAUUCAAGCGUUAUCCGGAUUUAUUGGGUUUAAAGGGUGCGUAGGCGGUUUGAUAAGUUAGAGGUGAAAUCCCGGGGCUUAACUCCGGAACUGCCUCUAAUACUGUUAGACUAGAGAGUAGUUGCGGUAGGCGGAAUGUAUGGUGUAGCGGUGAAAUGCUUAGAGAUCAUACAGAACACCGAUUGCGAAGGCAGCUUACCAAACUAUAUCUGACGUUGAGGCACGAAAGCGUGGGGAGCAAACAGGAUUAGAUACCCUGGUAGUCCACGCAGUAAACGAUGAUAACUCGUUGUCGGCGAUACACAGUCGGUGACUAAGCGAAAGCGAUAAGUUAUCCACCUGGGGAGUACGUUCGCAAGAAUGAAACUCAAAGGAAUUGACGGGGGCCCGCACAAGCGGUGGAGUAUGUGGUUUAAUUCGACGCAACGCGAAGAACCUUACCAGGUCUUGACAUCCCGAUGAAAAACCCGUAACGGGGUUCCCUCUUCGGAGCAUCGGAGACAGGUGGUGCAUGGUUGUCGUCAGCUCGUGUCGUGAGAUGUUGGGUUAAGUCCCGCAACGAGCGCAACCCCUGUACUUAGUUGCCAGCAUGUAGAGAUGGGAACUCUAAGUAGACUGCCGCGAAUAACGCGGAGGAAGGUGGGGAUGACGUCAAAUCAUCAUGCCCUUUAUGUCCUGGGCUACACACGUACUACAAUGGGUGUAACAGAGGGAAGCAACACAGCGAUGUGAAGCGAAACCCAAAAAGCACCCCCAGUUCGGAUUGAAGGCUGAAAUUCGCCUUCAUGAAGCCGGAAUUGCUAGUAAUGGCAGGUCAGCAUACUGCCGUGAAUACGUUCCCGGGCCUUGUACACACCGCCCGUCACACCAUGAGAGUCGGGAAUACCCGAAGCCUGUGAGCCAACAUAUUUAUAUGAGGCAGCAGUCGAAGGUAGAAUCGAUGAUUGGGGUG